rnacentral:lncRNA from 1 species
GAAUUGGGCUGUCUCUCUCUCUUUCUCUGGUUGCAUUUCACCAGCUAAGGAGUUGCAUUGGCUUCUGCUCUCCUCUCUUGCUCACCUACAUUGUGAGGCAGAUGAGAGUGGAGGUUGUAAAUCACCCUCCAUGCAAUGGUUCAUCAUAAAGGAUAUGGAGCAAAAUUAGAGGAGGCACGAGAAGGAAAGCCGGUGAUGAACAAGGAAAGUGCCUGGUUGAAGCUAGCUUGCAAUCCCAAAGUCAGAAGGUUGCCUGGGAAGCCAUGAAACAAAGCCAAAUCAAGGCAAAGCAGACACAUGGAGAUUUUGAGACUGAGAAGAGGAAAACUGAGGACAUUCAUGUGAGAUGGUUUCAAGUUUCCCUUAGAAGGAGAAGUUAUCUUCAGAAGGUCAGGUUGGUGAGGUGGGAGUUCAAAAACAACAAAGUAUGUAGCUACCAUUGUGAGGAAGACCAUGGAAAAUGGACGAAUCAGAAUGAAAGGCUUUCUGAACAAGAGUAAGU